AAUCAACAUUUUUUAUAUCGAUUCAGUUUACCCACUUUGGAUCGAUUCAGUUUACUCACUUCGGCUCAAAGGUAUCAUAGUGCUUGGAAACAUAGAACGCCAGGAAGAAUUUCUUUAGUCAUAAAAACAAAAGAUUUGAUGAAGAACUUUGGCUAAUCUUCAAUUCUUCAAUUGAUUAUGCGACUGUCAUACGUCCACAAUCUCUUCGUCUGGUACCAGCAAAAGUUAGGUUUAACAAAUUUUCCUCCAAAUUCAAUUUUCUCAUGAUAAAAUCAUCGUUAUAGAUGCAAAUAUUGUAAUUUUUGAUAACCAUGAUUUAUUUCGACAUGCUAUUUGGAAAGGAUAAAAAUGGUGUCUACAUAUUAUAUGUUCUAAUUUUGUAAAUACCAGAAACUGAUGGAGGUUUUACAUGACAUCUGCCAACGAUGUCUCUCAUUGCUUUAGAAUUUAGCUACUUGCACGAUGUGAAAGUUCCCGGUAAAAAAUCCCCAUUGUUCUCAAUAAAGGAGGAGAUGACAAGCUAGAUGGAAAUGCUGCUUUGAACAAGUUUUCCAGCCAUAUAUACUA